UACGGAGGAUGCGAGCGUUAUCCGGAUUUAUUGGGUUUAAAGGGUGCGUAGGCGGACGCUUAAGUCAGCGGUAAAAUUGCGGGGCUCAACCUCGUCGAGCCGUUGAAACUGGGUGCCUUGAGUGGGCGAGAAGUACGCGGAAUGCGUGGUGUAGCGGUGAGAUGCAUAGAUAUCACGCAGAACUCCGAUUGCGAAGGCAGCGUACCGGCAUCCAACUGACGCUGAGGCACGAAAGCGUGGGGAUCAAACAGG
rnacentral:rRNA from 1 species